rnacentral:rRNA from 1 species
GACGAACGCUGGCGGCGUGCUUAACACAUGCAAGUCGAACGGGAAGGGCCGGCUUUUGUGGGGGGCGCGAGUGGCGAACGGGAGAGCAACACGUGAGUAGGCUGACCACGACUGGGGGAGAACGUCAGGAAACCGGGGGUAAUACCGGAAAGGAGGGCAUGCGGCAGGGGGGGGGCUGGAGAGUGUCGGCGGUGGGGGAUGGACACGCGGCUUCUCAGCGUGUUGGUGGGGUAGUGGCUUACCAAGGCUUCGACGGGUAGGCGGCCGGGGAGGGUGACCGGCCACAUCGGGGCUACGGUGCGGCCGCGCCUCCUCCGGGAGGCAGCAGUGGGGAAUAUUGCACAAUGGGCGGCGGCCUGCUGAAGCAGCGCCGCGUCCUGGAUGUCGGCCUUCGGGUUGUAAUCCGCUUUCGCCUGUGACGAAGCGUCAGUGACGGUAAUGGGUAAAGAAGCACCGGCUAACUCCGUG